rnacentral:rRNA from 1 species
AGAGUUUGAUCCUGGCUCAGAUUGAACGCUGGCGGCAUGCCUUACACAUGCAAGUCGAACGGUAACAGCACUUCGGUGGCUGACGAGUGGCGAACGGGUGAGUAAUACAUCGGAACGUGCCCGAGAGUGGGGGAUAACGCAGCGAAAGCUGUGCUAAUACCGCAUACGAUCUACGGAUGAAAGCAGGGGACCGCAAGGCCUUGCGCUCAUGGAGCGGCCGAUGGCAGAUUAGGUAGUUGGUGGGAUAAAAGCUUACCAAGCCGACGAUCUGUAGCUGGUCUGAGAGGACGACCAGCCACACUGGGACUGAGACACGGCCCAGACUCCUACGGGAGGCAGCAGUGGGGAAAAUUGGACAAUGGG